rnacentral:rRNA from 1 species
CAGCCCCCGCGGUAAUACGUAGGGUGCGAGCGUUGUCCGGAAUUACUGGGCGUAAAGAGCUCGUAGGUGGUUUGUCGCGUUGUUCGUGAAAACCGGGGGCUUAACCCUCGGCGUGCGGGCGAUACGGGCAGACUAGAGUACUGCAGGGGAGACUGGAAUUCCUGGUGUAGCGGUGGAAUGCGCAGAUAUCAGGAGGAACACCGGUGGCGAAGGCGGGUCUCUGGGCAGUAACUGACGCUGAGGAGCGAAAGCGUGGGGAGCGAACAGGAUUAGAUACCCUGGUAGUCCACGCCGUAAACGGUGGGUACUAGGUGUGGGUUUCCUCCCUUGGGAUCCGUGCCGUAGCUAACGCAAUAAGUAGGCCGCCUGUGA